CUGAACUAUACUCCGAGAACAAAAGUUUUUGGUUUUAAUCAAUAACAACUUUCAGCAGUGGAUGUCUAGGCUCGCACAUCGAUGAAGAACGCUGCGAACUGCGAUACGUAAUGCGAAUUGCAGAAUUCAGUGAGUCAUCGAAAUUUUGAACGCACAUUGCACUUUCGGGAUAUUCCUGGAAGUAUGCUUGUAUCAGUGUCCGUACAUCAAACUUGCCUUUCUUUUUUUGUGUAGUCAAGAUUAGAAACGGCAGAAUGUGAGGUGUCUCGCUGGCUCCCUCUUCGGAGGAGAAGACGCGAGUCCCUUUAAAUGUACGUUCGCUCUUUCUUGUGUCUAAGUAGAAGUGUGACUUUCGAACGCAGUGAUCUGUUUGGAUCGCUUUGCGCGAGUGGGCGACUUCGGUUAGGACAUUAAAGGAAGCAACCUCUAUUGGCGGUAUGUUAGGCUUCGGCCCGACUUUGCAGCUGACAGUGUGUUGUUUUCUGUUCUUUCCUAGAGGUGUACCUGUCUUGUGUGAGGCAAUGGUCUGGGCAAAUGGUUAUUGUGUAGUAGAAUUUUGCUGCUCUUGGGCGCCUCACUUGUGGGGUAAAGAAGACAACACCAAUUUGGGACAGUUUGUGGGAUUUAUCUCGCAGGCGCUUU
rnacentral:rRNA from 1 species